rnacentral:rRNA from 1 species
UACGGGGGGGGGCAAGCGUUGUUCGGAAUUACUGGGCGUAAAGGGCUCGUAGGUGGCCAACUAAGUCAGACGUGAAAUCCCCAGGCUUAACCUGGGAACUGCGUCUGAUACUGGAUGGCUUGAAUUCGGGAGAGGGAUGCAGAAUUCCAGGUGUAGCGGUGAAAUGCGUAGAUAUCGGAAGGAACAUCAGUGGCGAAAGCGGCUUCCUGGACCAGCACCGACGUUCAGGCACGAAAGCGUGGGGAGCAAACAGG